CAAUGCAUGCCACCUAGUUCUAUUCUCCUAGCGAUAUUUGCCACCUUGUUUAUUCCAACAUUUCGCUCUGCUUACAUUAUCAACAAAUACCAAACCCACCAAACUGAACUAAUUUUUCAUUUCUCUUCAUACGCUUAAAGCAAUCGGGGUAACCUAGACACUCUUGUACCAUUGCUUGAUUCAGCCAGCGGAAAUAAUAAUUCAGGCUCCAAGUUCCACCUUCCCAGAGUUUACUUCCUACGUGACUUGCCUUUGAAUAGUGUUUUCCUUUCUCUCGGAUCUGUUUCUAUCACUGAAGUACAAGUGUGGGUAUUUGAAUAGCAAUGGGUAACGUGAUCUGGACAGUGAUCUGGUUCAUCCUCCUCCUCAUCCUCUUCUGGCCCCUCGCCUUCUUCCUCUGCUUCUUCUACGUCAUCUGUCUCCCAUUCUCAGCAUGCAUAGGCGGUUGUGCGGACAUAUCCAACUUCCUCCACAAGGGCAUUCUAUUGUGUCAGAAGGCCACAGUUGCUAUGGUACAGGGCAAGUCAGCAUUGUAAUUCAUGCUGCAUGUGAGCACCUUCAAGUUUGAAAGAUGGCAGCUGAUCUUUGACUGGAUCCCUGACUUAUAUUAUAGUCACGUAUAAUUUAUUCUUUGAAAAUUUAAUGUAAAUUACAUACUGCAGUUUAUCUUCGGUGUUUGUUACUUUUUUAUCUAGCAUGAAUGAUACCUUUUGCUUUUGAUAGACUGACAUAAUUAACUUUUUUAAACUUCAAAA